GUGUGGAGAGAGAAGGCAGUAUGGGCAUUGAUACAAGCUACAGUGGCCCAGCAGGAGGCUACCUGUGUCCAGGCAGCCGCCCAACAGGUGGCAGUAUGGCUGCAGAAAGAGACUAAUUGCCUGCUGAUGGACCAGGCUGCUCAAGAC